ensembl:lncRNA
CCCUUAUUGCAUGGAACUUCCUUCCAUCUCAUAUCGCUGAAAUAAACAACAAACCUGGUUUCAAUAAACAGAUAAAGCAACAUCUCGCGGCACAACGCCUCUCCACUAUUUGAUCUAGAUAGUUUGUGUGUGUUGAUAGGUAGAGUGUAUUGAUAUGUAGUGUGUAUUGAUAGGUAGUGUGUAUUGAUAGGUAGUGUGUAUUGAUAGGUAAUGUGUAUUGAUAGGUAAUGUGUAUUGAUAGGUAGUGUGUAUUGAUAUGUAGUGUGUAUUGAUAGGUAGUGUGUAUUGAUAGGUAGUGUGUAUUGAUAGGUAAUGUGUAUUGAUAGGUAAUGUGUAUUGAUAGGUAAUGUGUAUUGAU